GAAAAGAGGAGGGUGUGGCUGGGAAGAGAAUAUAAAUACUCUGGUAGGACUGGAAGGUCUUUUGAUGACAGCAACAGAAAGGGGCAUGAACAGGUGGCAAGGGCUUCAAGAGGAUGCCAAGGGUAUGAAAGCAGCAACAAAGACCAAACAGGUCAACAAGCCUGUGUUCGAGUAUGAGACCACAUGGAACAGAGGAAGCCACACCAACUGGGACCACUUGAAGCCAGUCAGGCCCCAGCCAACCCAGGAGCUGACCACAGAAGCAUGAGUGAGCAAAACAGAGUCUGGAAAACUUGCCCAGCUUGGCUUAGCCCAAAAUCACCAAGCUACACAAUGAAUUUCUAGCUUGAGAAGACGCCAUGGUACAUCCGGAUCAUCUCCCAUCACGGUCAAGGUGGCUUCAAAUUCUCCCUCAACUCGAAACUUCACCCGGCCAUUUGCUUUUAAAAGAAGAAGAAGAAGAAGAAGAAGAAGAAGAAGCAGCAGCAGCAGCAGCAGCAGUCUACUUUGCUAGAAAAUAACCAGCUUCCCGCUAGCCUAGAACAUUCAAUUUUGCUUACAAGAAAUUUUAAACAGCUUGAAAGUUCUUUCAGAAGUGUCCAAAGAACUCAGUAGUUCCUGCAUAAGCAAUAGCCAAAGGCAGUGAACACUUCUAACAUCAACUGACAAUUUUCUCUUGAGGUAUAACUCUGGGGCUUCAUCUCUCCUCCAGCCCCAGGUGAUCUCCCUGUUCCCAGCUUCACAUACCACCAUUUUAUCUCCAGGUACUAAAAUUUUAUCCCUUGGUACUAAAGAGAAACGAUCGGUUGACAAGUCACAGAUGUGAACACUACCUGAAUUGCAGACCAAACCCUCAAAAUGAGAGUUCUUUGAAUGAAACCCCAAAAGCUGUUUGAAAAAAAUUCUAACAAGUCAAUUCUUAAAAAAGAUUAACUUCCGGUACAUACCAACUGUAAGAUUGGCUAACUGAGGAGGGAGAUCUGUGGUCACAAGCCUAUGUCUAAGAAUCUGAUUGAGCUGGUGAAGUGUGGCUUGUUUCUCAAUCUUGGUAAUUGGGUCUGGAGGAAUAAUUUUAUCCUACAAAAAAAAUUCAGUGAUUUUAUAACCAUGUACAAAGAGACACAACUCUUACCUGCACCUGUCUUAACAUAAUAUUUUCUCACUUUGCCCAAGAGGAUCUUAACACUCAUUUCUUAAGUCGACAUCCAGUAAUAGUGAUAUGCCCCUUAACUAUGGUGCAUCAGAGUGCCACCCAGCUGAGACAGUAAUGCAACAUGAUCUUCUUCAUGCUCUAUUUAUGAAAUCAAGUUCAUGUCACUAGAUGACUUUCACCACUUCUUAAAAGUAUAAAAUAAAAUAGCACAUCAGUAAACUAUUACCGCACUACUUAAAAAAAAAAAGCUUCCAAAAAGCAACUAGCAUACCGUAUUUUCACAUAUGAAAUAGAUGUAAAUUAAUUUACACCUGUUUACCGUCCCCCCCCCCCCCCCCGAUUUAUCUAUUUUGAUAGCUAUUCACAUUUUGGCCUCAAUGUAUUCCAAAAAAACACAAUUCUAAUUAUGGAGAAAAAAGUGAAUUACAUGAAAUCUUUUAAAAUAUAGAACAGGGGCACCUGGGUGGCUCAGUCAGUUAAACGUCCAACUCUUGAUUUCGGCUCAGGUGAUGAUCUCAUGGUUUGUGAAUUUGAGCCCUGCCUUGGGCUCUGUGCGGACAGCUUGGAGCCUACUUGGGAUUCUCUCUCUUUACCUCUCCCCCAUUCUCUCCCACUCUCUC